rnacentral:rRNA from 1 species
GAUAACAAUAUGGCGUUUAGAUAGUGGCGGACGGGUGAGUAACGCGUAGGAAUCUGCCAUACAGAGGGGGACAACAGUUGGAAACGACUGCUAAUACCGCAUAAUACCUUUGGGUCAAAGGUUGGGUAGUUAUUACCCAGUCGCUUUAUGAUGGGCCUGCGUUAGAUUAGCUAGUUGGUGGGGUAAAGGCCUACCAAGGCGACGAUCUAUAGCUGUUUUGAGAGGAAGAUCAGCCACACUGGGACUGAGACACGGCCCAGACUCCUACGGGAGGCAGCAGUGGGGAAUAUUGGACAAUGGGGGAAACCCUGAUCCAGCAAUACCACGUGUGUGAAGAAGGCCUUAGGGUUGUAAAGCACUUUAGUUAGGGAGGAAAGGUAUUAGGUUAAGAGCUAAAUACUAUGACGUUACCUAAAGAAUAAGCACCGGCUAACUCCGUGCCAGCAGCCGCGGUAAUACGGAGGGUGCGAGCGUUAAUCGGAAUUACUGGGCGUAAAGAGUUCGUAGGCGGUUAAGUAAGUUAGAUGUGAAAGCCCUGGGCUCAACCUAGGAAUAGCAUUUAAUACUGUUUAACUAGAGUACAGAAGAGGAGAGGGGAAUUUCCAGUGUAGCGGUGAAAUGCGUAGAGAUUGGAAGAAACACCAAUGGCGAAGGCAACACUCUGGGCUAUAACUGACGCUGAGGGACGAAAGCGUGGGGAUCAAACAGGAUUAGAUACCCUGGUAGUCCACGCUGUAAACGAUGAGUACUAGCUGUUGGAUUCGGUGUAAAGGAUCUAGUGACGAAGCUAACGCGAUAAGUACUCCGCCUGGGGACUACGGCCGCAAGGUUAAAACUCAAAGGAAUUGACGGGGACCCGCACAAGCGGUGGAGCAUGUGGUUUAAUUCGAUGCAACGCGAAGAACCUUACCUACCCUUGACAUCCUAAGAAGACGAAAGAGAUUUUGUUGUGCCUUCGGGAACUUAGAGACAGGUGCUGCAUGGCUGUCGUCAGCUCGUGUUGUGAAAUGUUGGGUUAAGUCCCGCAACGAGCGCAACCCUUAUUUUUAGUUGCCAUCAUUUAGUUGGGCACUCUAGGGAGACUGCCGGUGUUAAACCGGAGGAAGGUGGGGACGACGUCAAGUCAUCAUGGCCCUUACGUGUAGGGCUACAAACGUGCUACAAUGGCGGUGACAGAGGGAUGCAAAGCCGCGAGGUGGAGCGAAACUCAUCAAAGGUGCUCGUAGUUCGGAUUGCACUCUGCAACUCGAGUGCAUGAAGUCGGAAUCGCUAGUAAUCGUGGAUCAGCAUGCCACGGUGAAUACGUUCCCGGGUCUUGUACACACCGCCCGUCACACCAUGGGAGUGGGUUGCAAAAGAAGUAGAUAGUCUAACUGAAAGGGGGACGUUUACCACUUUGUGAUUCAUGACUGGGGUGAAGUCGUAACA